rnacentral:rRNA from 1 species
GUGGGGAAUAUUGGACAAUGGGCGCAAGCCUGAUCCAGCCAUGCCGCGUGAGUGAUGAAGGCCUUUUGGUUGUAAAGCACUUUAAGCGAGGAGGAGGCUACCGAGAUUAAUACUCUUGGAUAGUGGACGUUACUCGCAGAAUAAGCACCGGCUAACUCUGUGCCAGCAGCCGCGGUAAUACAGAGGGUGCAAGCGUUAAUCGGAUUUACUGGGCGUAAAGCGCGCGUAGGUGGCCAAUUAAGUCAAAUGUGAAAUCCCCGAGCUUAACUUGGGAAUUGCAUUCGAUACUGGUUGGCUAGAGUAUGGGAGAGGAUGGUAGAAUUCCAGGUGUAGCGGUGAAAUGCGUAGAGAUCUGGAGGAAUACCGAUGGCGAAGGCAGCCAUCUGGCCUAAUACUGACACUGAGGUGCGAAAGCAUGGGGAGCAAACAGGAUUAGAAACCCGAGUAGUCC